AUGAAAAAGAAAGAAAGAAA
rnacentral:sRNA from 1 species